AAUGAACGCUGGCGGCGCGCCUAAUACAUGCAAGUCGAGCGAGAAGACGUAGCAAUACGUUUGUAAAGCGGCGAACGGGUGAGGAAUACAUGGGUAACCUACCCUCGAGUGGGGAAUAACUAGCCGAAAGGUUAGCUAAUACCGCGUACGCUCCUUGGACUUCGGUUCAGGGAGGAAAGCGAUACCGUGGGUAUCGCGCUCUUGGUUGGGCUCAUGUCCUAUCAGCUUGUUGGUGAGGUAACGGCUCACCAAGGCUUCGACGGGUAGCUGGUCUGAGAGGACGAUCAGCCACACUGGCACUGCGACACGGGCCAGACUCCUACGGGAGGCAGCAGUAAGGAAUAUUGCGCAAUGGGCGAAAGCCUGACGCAGCGACGCCGCGUGGGGGAUGAAGGUCUUC
rnacentral:rRNA from 1 species